rnacentral:rRNA from 1 species
AGCGAACGCUGGCGGCAGGCCUAACACAUGCAAGUCGAACGAACUCUUCGGAGUUAGUGGCGGACGGGUGAGUAACACGUGGGAACGUGCCUUUUGGUUCGGAAUAACUCAGGGAAACUUGUGCUAAUACCGAAUGUGCCCCUCGGGGGAAAGAUUUAUCGCCAUUAGAGCGGCCCGCGUCUGAUUAGCUAGUUGGUGAGGUAACGGCUCACCAAGGCGACGAUCAGUAGCUGGUCUGAGAGGAUGACCAGCCACACUGGGACUGAGACACGGCCCAGGCUCCUACGGGAGGCAGCAGUGGGGAAUCUUGCGCAAUGGGCGAAAGCCUGACGCAGCCAUGCCGCGUGAAUGAUGAAGGUCUUAGGAUUGUAAAAUUCUUUCACCGGGGACGAUAAUGACGGUACCCGGAGAAGAAGCCCCGGCUAACUUCGUG